UACAGAGGGUGCGAGCGUUAAUCGGAAUUACUGGGCGUAAAGCGUGCGUAGACGGUUAUUUAAGUCGGGUGUGAAAGCCCCGGGCUCAACCUGGGAAUUGCAUUCGAGACUGAAUAGCUAGGGUGCGGUAGAGGGAAGCGGAAUUUCCGGUGUAGCAGUGAAAUGCGUAGAUAUCGGAAGGAACAUCAAUGGCGAAAGCAAUUUCCUGGACCAGCACCGACGUUCAGGCACGAAAGCGUGGGGAGCAAACAGG
rnacentral:rRNA from 1 species